GGCAGAGGAACGAAGACUAAAAGCAUCACGUCCUGUAAUAACGCCUUUGUGACCAACAUCGUGCCGA
rnacentral:sRNA from 1 species